CUCUAUACCAGUUUCCCUGUAGUAACAUAUUUAACACAGGCAGCCACCCACCCCACCAAAAGAAAACCCUAGCAACAGUUACUAUUGUUUCUGUUCUAUUUAUGAGGAAACUGAGUCAGAGAGGGGUAAUAUAAUUUAUGAGCCAUACAGCUAACAAGUAAGUAGGACCAGAAUUCACAUCCAGGCAGUCUGGCUCUCGAGUCUAACUCCAUAGAUCCUGACUGCUUACUUCUCCUGGGCUGCCAGCUAAAGAAGUCCCUGUGUCGACCAAUCAACCUCUCAGCGGAGCUGACUGUAAAGAUGGCGGCAGUAUGGUGUCAUAAAUAAACGACCUCCGUUCAAAUGAUACUCUCUGGAGUCUUCAUCUUAAGUCCCAGCCACUCUGCAGAUGAUGAAUGGAGGAGAAAUGAAAAAUGACAUCUUUGAUGGAGAAGACUCCACAGAGACCAGAGUAGAAAUGUGGCCUGUCCCUCUGCUUACAGAGCGCUCUCUUUCCCAUCAGAUGGCUGACAGAAAACUAAACAGAAACAAAGGGCUUCUUAACCUGACAAUGAAUCUGGCCAGCCGCGUUCCUUUAUUAUAUCCAGAGCGCCCCCACCUCACUCACCCACCCCCCACCAAGGAUGCUUUACAAGAACACAGAACCAGUGAAGAGGAGGGGCCUCCCCUCGCCCAGGGAAGUGCCCCAGCCCUUCCCACAAUGACUUGGCCUCAGCCUCCUGGAGAGGGGGCUUACUAGGUCAGGAGAAGCCUUUUCAGAACCAUGUGACUCGUGCAUAGCAUAUUCAGAGAAAUGAAGGCUGUGGAAAACAGCUGCAAUGACAUGACAGAGCUUUGACCAGAGAAAUAAUUCACACACCUGAAGGAAAACCUCAUCUCUCUGAACUGCUUUAUAGACAAUGAUAAAAUAUGUACCUUAUAUUUUCCUUUUGGGGAAGAGGGUCUCAGGCUAGCCCUGAGACCCUGGCCUCAAACUUACAAUCUGCUUCCAUAGUUACUACAAUAUAGAUGAGACAUCUCAUAGAACCCUAACCCUGUGUGUGGGUUCUGUGUGUGGAUGUGUUUAGAUUCCACACAAGUUUACUGACACCUUGCCAUGUUAGGUCAGCACAGAGAUGGACCUUUCCAGAAGGGAGCUUCAGAAGUGUUCAUGAAACUGCAAGCAAGUGGUCUUGUGGCUGCUUCCCAGCUGGAAGUACACACUUGGGAGUCUCAAAGAAAUCAGCCAUGAUGCAGGGGUCUCCAAUUCUCUGUGUGCAUCCCCAGCUCAAACAGGAAGGUGGUUCCUAAGGUGUUCACAGGUAGCUUCCCCUUUCCUCUCUUUAAGCUUUAACUAAUCUAAUUUGGUAAACAAAUUAACAUUCCUUUUAAUGCCUCUGAUUUCAAAAUACCAGACCUAGUUUAUUCAGCUCCUCAUUUAAUUUGAGCCUAGUUUAAUCAUUCAUUCAAUGAAUAUUUAUCCUUAAAUGAAUUCAAUUCAUUCAUUCAAUGAAUAUUUAUCAAAAAUCUUGUGCAUGGUAGAUGCAGCUUUCAACACGGGGGACAAAGCAGUGAGCAAGACAGACAAAAUUGCUUCGUUCCUGGGGUUUUAUGAUAAUAGGAAACACAGACAAUGGAAAAUAAAUAUCCAUAAAAAUACAUGAUAGCCAGUAAAACCAUGUGCUAUGAAAACAAAGGCAGUUGUAUGUACAGGGCAAUGGAGGCUGCUACUCUAAGGAGCUUUUUAUUAAACACAAUCAAAUGUUGCUCAAUUUUUUUUCCCCUUCGCCCCCGUUGCUCAUUUUCACUAUCACUAGGGGGACUUUUGUUUUUUUUUUAAAUCUCCCUAGAGUGCUAUGAAUUAGCAUGCUAAGACUAACACACUAGCCAUGGCCUUCUGCAGUUUUACUUAUUAAUUCCAUUUCAUUUAUUAAUUUAUUGUACCUGCCUCAUUCUCCGGAGGAUUUAUGGGAAGGCUAUGAAGCAGCAGCAGAAGCUGCCCUACCCCUUGGCUACUAAAGAACUCGGUCUUUAUGAAAAUACAGACACAAACUCAUUUCCAAAGUGAUUCAUUUUCACUCAUCUCAAGUUGAUUUCUUUGAUAACCUGAGUGUGUCAGUAAGUACUCAGGACUAAGAUUUGCCAGGAAGAGCAAAUGAAAGGGAUGAAGAAUCGAUAUUGGCAGCAACUGUUUCCUAUAACGACAGAUUUCACAGAAGUCAACUUUGUGGGGUUUUUUGUUGUUUUUUUUUUUAAGGUUUUUUUUUUUUCAAUGUUCCAGCCUUGGAAGUCUGCCAGAAUUGAUCCUGUAAAUUAACAUCCUAAGUCCAAGACACUUCAGUUUUGCAUACCUGUCUCCAUACAAUAUGUCAAUAGAACAUGGGGCAAUGGAGGCAGAAAGAAAGGAGAAAUAAUUCAUAAAUUAUGCAGAGCCACCUUUUGCUGGCCCUCCUUGGUGAAAUGGGAUGAAGUAGGACAACGGAAGAUGAUAAAGGGUGUCUGAAAUUUACAACAGGACACAUGACCAGGUGCGCUCACAACCAGCCCCCGCCCCUCAGAGGGUUUCUUCCUUGCCAGACUGCAGAAUGCUGGCAGCAAUGGGCAAUGCCUUAACUUGGUAUGGAAGUUAAUUCAUGACUAAAGAGUGUCUCCUACAAAUACAGAGGAAUUUGUUUCAGCAUCCACACACUAAAGUACUUUGCAAUAAUUUUCUGAAUGCUUGGCUUAUUUUGACCAAGCCUUGUAUACAACUAAAAGAAGUAUACAUUAAUUUGUGUUUCAUUUUGCCAUUCUCAAAAGAGCAAUCUUAAUCAUUUUCACAAGGUUGUCUUCUGUAAUUUUAAUAGAGAAAAAAUAAUACCCCUAUAUAACAGAAAUAUAUUUUUGCUUACAUAAAGU
ensembl:lincRNA